rnacentral:rRNA from 1 species
UACAGAGGGGGCAAGCGUUGUUCGGAAUUACUGGGCGUAAAGGGCUCGUAGGCGGCCAACUAAGUCGGACGUGAAAUCCCUCGGCUUAACCGGGGAACUGCGUCUGAUACUGGAUGGCUUGAAUCCGGGAGAGGGAUGCGGAAUUCCAGGUGUAGCGGUGAAAUGCGUAGAUAUCUGGAGGAACACCGGUGGCGAAGGCGGCAUCCUGGACCGGCAUUGACGCUGAGGAGCGAAAGCCAGGGGGAGCAAACGGG